GUUAGGGGGGUGAAUCCCGGGGCUCAACCCCGGAACUGCCUCCAAAACUAUCAGUCUAGAGUUCGAGAGAGGUGAGUGGAAUUCCAAGUGUAGAGGUGAAAUUCGUAGAUAUUUGGAGGAACACCAGUGGCGAAGGCGGCUCACUGGCUCGAUACUGAC
rnacentral:rRNA from 1 species